rnacentral:lncRNA from 1 species
CAUAUUCCAGGAUUUAUAUUUCUCGUUGUAUUGCAGCUCCCUUACUACGCGCAAGGGAACUGGUAUUAAAUAUUUUGAAUCCGACUAAACAACAUUACAUUUAUUUGGAUCCCGACAGAUGACAACAAAUUACUGACCUGCAUACAGAUUGGGCACUUAACCGGCACCAAGCAAAAUGGCUGCUAUUGUCGGAUUAAUAUAUAUGUUGUACGUUGGAAUUUAUGGAAUUUCGAUAGGACAGUGUUAUUUGAUGUGUUAGUUUUGUUUUUUUGUUUCAUUUUUAUAACCAGUGUGGACGAAAAUCAAUGGACAAAAUUGGCUUUCCGAUAUAAUGGAGUGUAAGGACGAUAUUGAGUAGGUCAGAAAUGUGGACAUUAGACUAAUGUAGGUGUAGAAGCAAAACUGCUAGCGAAGCGGGGGCUUUAGAAGGUGGUGUUGUUGGUUAGUGCAGAAGGUAUAGAGGUGAAAGGAAAAGAACUGUUGCCAUGAACUUGCCCAAACCAGCGAGGUUGCCAAGCUGCCA